rnacentral:rRNA from 1 species
GUGUCAGCCGCCGCGGUAAGACAGAGGGUGCAAACGUUGUUCGGAAUUACUGGGCGUAAAGCGCGUGUAGGCGGCUUUGCAAGUCGGGCGUGAAAUCCCAUGGCUCAACCAUGGAAGUGCACUCGAAACUGCAGAGCUAGGGUCCUGGAGAGGAAGGUGGAAUGCUUGGUGUAGAGGUGAAAUUCGUAGAUAUCAAGCGGAACACCGGUGGCGAAGGCGGCCUUCUGGACAGUGACCGACGCUGAGACGCGAAAGCGUGGGGAGCAAACAGGAUUAGAUACCCCUGUAGUCC